GAUGAACGCUAGCGGCAGGCUUAACACAUGCAAGUCGAGGGGUAACAGGGAGAAGCUUGCUUUUCCGCUGACGACCGGCGCACGGGUGCGUAACGCGUAUAGAACCUCCCUAUUACAGAGGAAUAGCCCAGAGAAAUUUGGAUUAAUGCCUCAUAGUAUUAUAGAAUGGCAUCAUUUUAUAAUUAAACAUUUAUGGGUAAAAGAUGGCUAUGCGUUCUAUUAGCUAGUUGGUAAGGUAACGGCUUACCAAGGCUACGAUAGAUAGGGGUCCUGAGAGGGAGAUCCCCCACACUGGUACUGAGACACGGACCAGACUCCUACGGGAGGCAGCAGUGAGGAAUAUUGGACAAUGGAGGCAACUCUGAUCCAGCCAUGCCGCGUGCAGGAAGACGGCCCUAUGGGUUGUAAACUGCUUUUAUAUAGGAAGAAACCUUUCCACGUGUGGAAAGCUGACGGUACUAUAAGAAUAAGCACCGGCUAACUCCGUGCCAGCAGCCGCGGUAAUACGGAGGGUGCAAGCGUUAUCCGGAAUUAUUGGGUUUAAAGGGUCCGUAGGCGGACUAAUAAGUCAGGGGUGAAAUCCAACAGCUUAACUGUUGAACUGCCUUUGAUACUGUUAGUCUUGAAUUAUAUGGAAGUAGAUAGAAUGUGUAGUGUAGCGGUGAAAUGCUUA
rnacentral:rRNA from 1 species